AGGUGAACAGACUUUUAAAGCUGCUACACCUUAAAGAUUUUUUAAUUCAACAUCGAGGUCGUAAUCUUUCUUGUAGAUAAGAACUCUCAAAGAAAAUUACGCUGUUAUCCCUAAAGUAACUUAAUCUUAUAAUCUUUAUUAAAGGAUCAUUCACACAAUCUGAUUAUAAAUCAUUAAAACUUUAAAAACAGUUACUUUUUAUAUUUUUAUCGCCCCAAUAAAAUAAAUUCCACAAUAAAAGUUUUAAUCAACUACUCCACUUUUUUUAUUUUAUUUAUCAAGUUUUAUAGGGUCUUAUCGUCACUUUAAUUUAUUUAAGCCUUUUUACUUAAAAGUUAAGUUCAAUAAAUUUAGCUGAAGACAGUUUGUUUCUUGUGCAACCAUUCAUACAAGCCUCCAAUUAAGAGACAAAUGAUUAUGCUACCUUUGCACGGUCAAAAUACCGCGGCCCUUUAAAAUUCAGUGGGCAGGCCAGA
rnacentral:rRNA from 1 species